rnacentral:rRNA from 1 species
UACGUAGGGGGCAAGCGUUAUCCGGAUUUACUGGGUGUAAAGGGAGCGUAGACGGUUACGCAAGUCUGGAGUGAAAGGCGGGGGCCCAACCCCCGGACUGCUUUGGAAACUGUAUAACUGGAGUGCAGGAGAGGUAAGUGGAAUUCCUAGUGUAGCGGUGAAAUGCGUAGAUAUCGAGAGGAACACUCGUGGCGAAGGCGGGUUCCUGGACAUUAACUGACGCUGAGGCACGAAGGCCAGGGGAGCGAAAGGG